AACCGGCGCGCGGCUGGAGGCUGGGAACCAGCUCCUGGGUCUUAGUCAGAGGUUCACAUCCACCAACUAUCUUCCCAGGGUUGGACUGAGAAGGGGAGCAGAGGGUCCCAGGGACUCUCCUGAGAUCCUGGCUCUCCUGCCAAGGAAUUUACAUUUCCUUGUCACAGCACCAUGUAAGAUAUCCAACUACUCUGAAACUACCACACUGUGAAGAGUCUAACCAAGCCAC
rnacentral:lncRNA from 1 species